rnacentral:rRNA from 1 species
ACAAUAAAACCUCCACAAUGAAUGGGAACACCCCCUUAUCUGAGGGCCACACCCCCUAAGAAUUAGAACACUAACAUAAAAUGAUCCAUUACUUGAUCAAUGAACCAAGUUACCCUGGGGAUAACAGCGCAAUCCAUUUCAAGAGCCCCUAUCGACAAAUGGGUUUACGACCUCGAUGUUGGAUCAGGGUACCCCAGUGGUGCAGCAGCUACUAACGGUUCGUUUGUUCAACGAUUAAAACCCU